rnacentral:rRNA from 1 species
CAGGGGAAGGGUGUUUACCAGUUUGCCGACAAGUAUGGAGCAAACGUUGAUGGGUACAGCCCGAUAUAUACACCAGAAGAAUGGUCUCCAAGUGGUGACGUUUAUGUUGGAGGAAAGACAAGGCUGUUUCUCUGGGCAGUCACUCUUGCUGGAAUUCUGCUGGGCGGUGCUCUUCUCUCAUAUGAUAAUCAAUCACCUUAA